rnacentral:rRNA from 1 species
GAGUUUGAUCGUGGCUCAGAUUGAACGCUGGCGGAAUGCUUUACACAUGCAAGUCGAGCGGCAGCGCGGGGCAACCUGGCGGCGAGCGGCGAACGGGUGAGUAAUGCAUCGGAACAUGUCCAUUGAUGGGGGAUAGCCCCGGCGAAAGCCGGAUUAAUACCGCAUGAGCCCCGAGAGGGGAAAGUGGGGGACCGCAAGGCCUCACGUCGAUGGGUUGGCCGAUGUCCGAUUAGCUAGUUGGUGGGGUAAAGGCCUACCAAGGCGAUGAUCGGUAGCUGGUCUGAGAGGAUGAUCAGCCACACUGGGACUGAGACACGGCCCAGACUCCUACGGGAGGCAGCAGUGGGGAA